CGGUGGAGAACCUGCCGUAUACUGGGGAUAACACUUAGGAAAUAGGUGUCUAAAUACCGCAUAAGCGCACAGCUUCGCAUGAAGCAGUGUAGGAAACAAAAGCUAAGACUUUUGGUGGUAUACGAUGGAUCCGCGUCUGAUUAGCUUGUUGGCGGGGUAAAGGCCCACCAAGGCGACGAUCAGUAGCCGGCCUGAGAGGGUGAACGGCCACAUUGGGACUGAGACACGGCCCAAACUCCUACGGAAGGCAGCAG
rnacentral:rRNA from 1 species